rnacentral:rRNA from 1 species
UAAUACGGAGGGGGCGAGUGUUGUUCGGAAUUACUGGGCGUAAAGGGCGCGCAGGCGGCCUGGCAAGUCGAGUGUGAAAUCCCUUGGCUUAACUGAGGAAUGGCGCUCGAAACUACCUCGCUAGAGGGCGGGAGAGGGAAGUGGAACUCUCGGUGUAGGGGUGAAAUCUGUAGAUAUCGAGAGGAACACCGGUGGCGAAGGCGGCUUCCUGGCCCGUACCUGACGCUGAGGCGCGAAAGCGUGGGGAGCAAACA